rnacentral:snRNA from 2 species
AUGAUUUUUUCAAAAAAAAAAAUCUGUUCUUAUCAGUUUAAUAUCUGAUACGUCCCCCAUCGGGGGACUACAUAUUAAAUGGAUUUUUCGAACAGGGAGUCGGAAAUGGGGCUUGCUCCGUCCGCUCCACGCAUCGACCCGGUUUUGCAGUACCUCCGGGAACGGUGCAACACUU